rnacentral:rRNA from 1 species
GGAUGAACGCUGGCGGCGUGCUUAACACAUUGCAAGUCGAACGAUGAAGCCCAGCUUGCUGGGUGGAUUAGUGGCGAACGGGUGAGUAACACGUGAGUAACCUGCCCCUGACUCUGGGAUAAGCCCGGGAAACUGGGUCUAAUACCGGAUAUGACUUUUGACCGCAUGGUUGAGGGUGGAAAGAUUUAUCGGUUGGGGAUGGACUCGCGGCCUAUCAGCUUGUUGGUGAGGUAAUGGCUCACCAAGGCGACGACGGGUAGCCGGCCUGAGAGGGUGACCGGCCACACUGGGACUGAGACACGGCCCAGACUCCUACGGGAGGCAGCAGUGGGGAAUAUUGCACAAUGGGCGCAAGCCUGAUGCAGCGACGCCGCGUGAGGGAUGACGGCCUUCGGGUUGUAAACCUCUUUCAGUAGGGAAGAAGCGAGAGUGACGGUACCUGCAGAAGAAGCGCCGGCUAACUACGUGCCAGCAGCCGCGGUAAUACGUAGGGCGCAAGCGUUAUCCGGAUUUAUUGGGCGUAAAGAGCUCGUAGGCGGUUUGUCGCGUCUAUCGUGAAAGUCCGAGGCUCAACCUCGGAGCUGCGGUGGGUACGGGCAGACUAGAGUGAUGUAGGGGAGACUGGAAUUCCUGGUGUAGCGGUGAAAUGCGCAGAUAUCAGGAGGAACACCGAUGGCGAAGGCAGGUCUCUGGGCAUUUACUGACGCUGAGGAGCGAAAGCAUGGGGAGCGAACAGGAUUAGAUACCCUGGUAGUCCAUGCCGUAAACGUUGGGCACUAGGUGUGGGGGACAUUCCACGUUUUCCGCGCCGUAGCUAACGCAUUAAGUGCCCCGCCUGGGGAGUACGGCCGCAAGGCUAAAACUCAAGGAAUUGACGGGGGCCCGCACAAGCGGCGGAGCAUGCGGAUUAUUUCGAUGCACGCGAAGAACCUUACCAAGGCUUGACAUGUUCCAGAUCGCCUCAGAGAUGGGGUUUCCCUUCGGGCUGG